rnacentral:rRNA from 23 species
AAUUUCGACCUGAACUCAAGCGUGAGCACCCGCUGAACUUAAGCAUAUCAGUAAGCGGAGGAAAAGAAACUAACAAGGAUUCCCUUA